GUUGGUGUAGCUCAGUGGUAGAGUGUGUGCUUAGCGCACACAGGGUCUGGGGUUCAAUCCCCAGUACCCCCA
rnacentral:tRNA from 1 species